rnacentral:rRNA from 1 species
AACGAACGCUGGCGGCAGGCCUAACACAUGCAAGUCGAACGCGCGUAGCAAUACGCGAGUGGCGCACGGGUGAGUAAUACGUGGGAACCAACCCAGAGGUUCGGAAUAACCGCGGGAAACUGCGGCUAAUACCGGAUGUCCCCCAAGGGGGAAAGAUUUAUCGCCUUUGGACGGGCCCACGUCCGAUUAGCUUGUUGGUGAGGUAACGGCUCAUCAAGGCAACGAUCGGUAGCUGGUCUGAGAGGACGACCAGCCACACUGGAACUGAGACACGGUCCAGACUCCUACGGGAGGCAGCAGUGGGGAAUAUUGGGCAAUGGAGGCAACUCUGACCCAGCCAUGCCGCGUGGGUGACGAAGGUCUUCGGAUUGUAAAGCCCUUUCGGCGGGGACGAUGAUGACGGUACCCGCAGAAGAAGCCCCGGCUAACUUCGUGCCAGCCGCCGCCGUAAUAC